rnacentral:rRNA from 1 species
AACGAACGCUGGCGGCAUGCCUAACACAUGCAAGUCGAACGAGAUCUUCGGGUCUAGUGGCGCACGGGUGCGUAACGCGUGGGAAUCUGCCCUUUGGUUCGGAAUAACAGUUGGAAACGACUGCUAAUACCGGAUGAUGACGAAAGUCCAAAGAUUUAUCGGCAGAGGAUGAGCCCGCGUAGGAUUAGCGAGUUGGUGUGGUAAAGGCGCACCAAGGCGACGAUCCUUAGCUGGUCUGAGAGGAUGAUCAGCCAAACUGGGACUGAGACACGGCCCAGACUCCUACGGGAGGCAGCAGUGGGGAAUAUUGGACGAUGGGCGAAAGCCUGAUCCAGCAAUGCCGCGUGAGUGAUGAAGGCCUUAGGGUUGUAAAGCUCUUUUACCCGGGAUGAUAAUGACAGUACCGGGAGAAUAAGCUCCGGCUAACUCCGUGCCAGCCGCCGCAGUAA